GCGUGCUUAACACAUGCAAGUCGAACGAUGAUCUCCAGCUUGCUGGGGGGAUUAGUGGCGAACGGGUGAGUAACACGUGAGUAACCUGCCCUUGACUCCGGGAUAAGCCUGAGAAAUUGGGUCUAAUACUGGAUACGACCUUCCCGCGCAUGCGGUGUUGGUGGAAAGCUUUUGUGGUUUUGGAUGGACUCGCGGCCUAUCAGCUUGUUGGUGGGGUAAUGGCUUACCAAGGCGACGACGGGUAGCCGGCCUGAGAGGGUGACCGGCCACACUGGGACUGAGACACGGCCCAGACUCCUACGGGAGGCAGCAGUGGGGAAUAUUGCACAAUGGGCGAAAGCCUGAUGCCGCGACGCCGCGUGAGGGAUGAUCGCCUUCUGUUUGUAAACCUCUUUCACUACGGAAUAAGCCGGCCCUUUGGGUUGGUGACGGUGCGGCACAGAAGAAGCGACGAGGUAAGGUUGAGUCAGCGGCCGCAGUAAUACGUAGGGCGCAAGCGUUAUCCGGAAUUAUUGGGAGUAAAGAGCUCGUAGGCGUUUUGUCGCAUCUGUCGUGAAAGUCCGGGGCUUAACCCCGGAUCUGCGGUGGGUACGGGCAGACUAGAGUGCAGUAGGGGAGACUGGAAUUCCUGGUGUAGCGGUGAAAUGCGCAGAUAUCAGGAGGAACACCGAUGGCGAAGGCAGGUCUCUGGGCUGUAACUGACGCUGAGGAGCGAAAGCAUGGGGAGCGAACAGGAUUAGAUACCCUGGUAGUCCAUGCCGUAAACGUUGGGCACUAGGUGUGGGGGACAUUCCACGUUUUCCGCGCCGUAGCUAACGCAUUAAGUGCCCCGCCUGGGGAGU
rnacentral:rRNA from 1 species